UUUAAAGUCUAAUCUGCCCUAUGAGGGAUUAAAUGGCCGCGGUAUUUUGACCGUGCAAAGGUAGCAUAAUAAUUAGUUUUUUAAUUGAAAGCUGGAAUGAAUGAUUGGACGAGAAAAUAGCUGUCUCAAUUUAAUUUUUUUAGAAUUUUAUUUUUAAGUAAAAAAGCUUAAAUUUUUUUAAAAGACGAGAAGACCCUAUAGAGUUUUAUACAAGUUAGAAAAUAAAUUUUAUUGAUUUUUUAUAUUUAUAUUUUAUUUUGUAUUUUGUUGGGGUGAUGGAAAAAUUUAAUUAACUUUUUUUAAAAUAUAAUACAUUAAUUUAUGAUUAUUUGAUCCAAUUAUUUUGAUUAUAAGAUUAAAUUACCUUAGGGAUAACAGCGUAAUUUUUUUUUAGAGUUCUUAUCGAAAAAAAAGAUUGCGACCUCGAUGUUGGAUUAAAAUUAAUUUUUGGUGUAGAAGCUAAAAAAUUAGGUCUGUUCGACCUUUAAAAUUUUACA
rnacentral:rRNA from 1 species